rnacentral:tRNA from 1 species
AGGGGGUUAGCCAAGUUGGUAAGGCACGAGACUUUGACUCUCGCAUGCGCAGGUUCGAGCCCUGCACCCUCUGCCA